UUUAAUUCGAUGAUACGCGAGGAACCUUACCUGGGCUAGAAUGCCAGUGGACCGUGGGUGAAAGCUCACUUCCCCGCAAGGGGCCGCUGGUAAGGUGCUGCAUGGCUGCCGUCAGCUCGUGCCGUGAGGUGUUGGGUUAAGUCCCGCAACGAGCGCAACCCCCAUCAGUAGUUGCCAUCAGGUAACGCUGGGAACUCUACUGAAACUGCCGUCGUAAGACGCGAGGAAGGAGGGGAUGAUGUCAAGUCAUCAUGGCCUUUAUGCCCAGGGCUACACACGUGCUACAAUGGGAAGGACAAAGAGCUGCCACUUAGUGAUAAGGAGCCAAUCUCAAAAACCUUCUCUCAGUUCAGAUCGCAGUCUGCAACUCGACUGCGUGAAGCUGGAAUCGCUAGUAAUCGUAUAUCAGCAAUGAUA
rnacentral:rRNA from 1 species